rnacentral:pre_miRNA from 1 species
AGAUUGUCUGUGGCUGAUUUCUCUGCGGGUGGGGAUUUGUUGCAUUACUUGAUCUUGUGUCUAUAAGAGUAUUGCACUUGUCCCGGCCUGUGGAGGAAAAGAGGACUUAUCUUCA